rnacentral:lncRNA from 1 species
UUCAAAAAAACCCACCCAUAAUUUCUAAACUCCUCAUUCUUCCACUUCUCUACACCUCUCUAAACUUAAAAUCUCUCUACCUCCCUCUUCUUCCUCCACCGCCGCCGCCACUGUCACCGUGGCCCAUCGAAAUAGUUUCCCGACGGCAGCCUACCUUUAAAUUCCCUUAAAUUCACACAAUCUUUUCCUCUUUUCCUCCUCUACCUCAUCUUAUCAACCAAACUCCUCAAAGACUAACCAAAAUUCGUAGAUCUAAAAAAAAGCAAAACCCUAGAUCUACCUUUUUUUGUGUGCAUUUUCCUCGCCAUUAAAAAAUCCUCCGGUCAAGAUCUCCCAUCAAGGAUCUUAGAUCCAAGACGAGAUUUUUGAGGAUCUUUUCACGGUUAGAUCCAUGUAAUUUUGUAUUUAGUUUCCACCUUCCUUAAUUUAUUUAUGCAUUUAUAUUUUUUGCAUUUUUAUUCUCGUUAUGUAUGUUAUUUUCUAUUUUUUUAUUUCUAUUUAUUUAAUGUUUUUUAUUUAUUAUUAUUUAUAUUCUGCGCAAUUAUUUUAAAUAUUUAUUUUGUCCGAUUUUUAUUUAUUUAUUUUUUCUGUUUAACGCAUUUGUUUUACCUCUAUUAUAAUUAAUUAAUUGCUUAAGUCAUAGUUAACUAAAGUAUGAAAAAAAUAUGUGUAUAUAGAUUUUAAUUAGAUAAAAAUGAUUAAAAUAUUAUUAAAAAUGUAGUAUUUAGAUUCCGUUUUUAUUUUUUAUUUUACAUCUCAUCAUUUUAAUUACUGUUAUUCUAUUAAAUAUAUUAUGUAGUUAUUAGUGGGUUGUAUUACUAAUAUAAUACGUUGUGGUAGGGUAGAAAUUGCAAUACUUAAUUUAAAUAAUAGCACUAGCUUAGUGGAAGAUUUAAAAAUGGAAAGAUAAUUUGAUAAUGGAGGAUGCAUUAACCGGAAUUGCCUAUUAAAUGCUGAAAAGUAAAAAGAGGGGGAACAAUAGUGAAUAGUUAAAAAUCUUCACAUAGUAGAAGAAUAUUUAAAAGCUGGAAAGUAAAAGGAGGAGGGGUAAUAGUAAAAGUUUUUCCCUUUAUAACUGUAAAAGAAAAAAGGAGGGCUAAAAAGAAGAGUUUGGGUUUAAAUAUAGAGAUUAAGAGAGUCAUUAAGGGAUACUUAAACAGAGAAUAGGAGAAAGAAUUAUUGUUGAGAAAUUAGAGAGCUGAAGAUCCCACUAUUUAUUUGAAGUUUCUCUUUUUGCUUCAUUGAUUUCAUUUCUCUUGAUUCAAAUAUAUUAAGACCGAUCUUAAGUAAUUCUAGUGUAUCUUUGAGUUCAUUUGGCCUGUGUUGAUAUUGCUGUGGGAUAAGGUCCAUUUUUGUCGGUAUUUUCUUGUUUGAUUUGCUGGGUUUCUGGUCUAUUGCUGUUGGCAUUUCUAGGAUUCUAUUGAUUUUUGAUCUGUUACUGUUCUGCUGCUUACUGUUGGUUGCUGCUGUGUAUGCUACUGCUAUUCUGCUUAUCAUUCCUCUUCUACUUUUAUUUCUAAUAUCAGGUACAUAACUGGUACACAUUAUUAUAAGCCGAAACAUGGAAGCAUGAAAUAUAAAUUAUGAAGAGUUGCAGUUGUAAACUCAACAUAGUUUCUUUCGUUUUAUGGUUAUAGUUAAGAGCAUGCUAUAUACUUUGUUGUAUAAACUUCUGCCAUUAUUUUUGUGUAAAUGGACAAUUCUGUGAAAUGUUGUCCAACAAUAUUUUAUCUUAGUUUGAUCAUUAAGUAGUAAUAUUAGUUUGAUCAUUAAGUAGUAAUAUGUCCAAAUGCAUGUCUGGCCCGUUAGACUGUUCUUAAAUGCCAUACAAGUUAAGUUGCCUCAUUUAAAUAGUAUCAUGUUUUAAAACUUGUAGUAUAUUGCUUAAUUAGAUAUCAUUACUUUACAUUUCUGCCUCUUAAAGUUCUGACCAUGUAUAGGAUAAUUUAGCUGGGCUCAACAUUAGAAUAAAAUGGCCCAGAUCCCAUUUAAUACUAUAUGUGCUGGACCUGGGCCCACGUUAGCAAACGAACUGCGUUUACUUUCUAAUUUAGCAAAUCGCGUCCGGAACCUCGCUAUAACAAGUUUGAAGCAUGUAAUUAAAUUAGGACCUUUCAUUAUAGAGACGGACGAAAAGUAGAAAAAUAUAAGUCAAACCUUUCCCAAGUGGCGACUCCAAAUAAAUAAAUAAUCCCGAUCCGAAUAUUUUCACUUAAAUUUAAAAACUCCCUUGUGCAUCUAUCCCUCGAGGUAGGCGCGCAAAAGGGAUGUGUGACAGCUCUGGCGACUCCGCUGGGGAACAAGAACCCAGAACGUUUUGUUCAGGAUUCAGAAUUCGAGCUUAGAUAAAUUUAUUGUAUUUGGUUAUAUGUGAUAUUCCUAUAUAUUUCAUGCUUAAUGUGGUAAAUGUUUACCGCUUUCAUAUUAUGGAAAUGUAUCUAAACUGUGUCGAGACCCAUUUUCUCUCUGAGUAUUCUAAAUCAUGAAGAAGGGUGGAUUUCGUGUGACUUCUUAUCUAUUUAGAGUCGGUCCCAUUUUUAGAAUGAGGUUCGGAUAAGUUGUAAAGCCGGGUUGAGCUUCUAUAUCCUCGGCACGCUGCCCCCCGGCUCGAGCUGUUCGCUCGGGUAAGCCAGGUCUAGAACAAUAAGCCCAGGUUUUUACCAAGAAUGACGUGAUUUCAUGACGAAUCCCUAGUAGGAACGCUUAUUUUCAUCAUGUUGUAUUUGACUUAGGAGACUCAACACAGGGGUUGGGUAUGUCUAGGACAGGUGUAUCUGAAAUGAAAAGAUCAUCUUGUUUCAUCUUACGUGCUACUUGCGUAUCUGUCUGUUUCGGCUUGUAUCUUGUCUGGCUUCUAGAAUAUGGAAAGAAAAUUAAAAAAAAAGAAAAAAAAAACAGAAAAUCAUAAAAAAAAGAGAAAGAAGAAGAAAAAAGAAACAAAAGUGAAAGGCAGGUACUUAGAAAAUCCCGAAACUGUGCCGAAAUUUUGAAAAAAAAAAAGAAAAUUCAAUUUUUUAUAAAAUAGUUGGUUUUGUUUUGUCAUAUUUGACCGAACUACGCGGCUCUGAUUCUCACCAGAUGUGAUAUACGGAGGUAAACCUUAUCAGUUUCGACCUCAAUUUUCAAAAAAUCCAAAAAUAUUUUUCUUUAGUUCCUUCUUUGAAAAUCUUUCCAUAGAAAAUUCAAAAACAAAAAGUAGUUUUUAAAUUAAAAAAAAAGGUUUCCUUAUUUCUAAUCUCUUUCAUGAGAAAAAAAAAAAGAAAAGUCAAUAAAAAUCAAAAUCUGAAAUACGUGUUUCCUUCAUUUUGAAGUAUUUUUCAAAAAAACAAAUCAGAAAAAACAAAACAAAAAUACUCUUUAGAAGUCUUUCUUUUGUAAAUGACCAUAAAAUUUUUGAAAAGUCAAAAUAUUUUUGCUUUUCUUUAUGAAAUAAUUUUGUAAAUAAAUAAAGACUCACAAAUCCAAAAUAUUUUCUAAAAAAGCCCUUCUUUCGAAUUUAAAAGGUAACAUCCAAAAUUCUAAAACAUUUUCUUUCCUCCUUAGAAAAAAAUAAAACAAACGAUAGUUCAGACAACAAAUAUCUUCUUUUUACUUCUAAAAUUUCCAAAGUUCCAAUCAAAAGAAAUUUUUUUUAGAAGUUUUUCUUUCAAAAAUAAAAAUAGAAUCAAAUUCAAAAAUCCAAAAAACAAUGUCCUUCUUUUAAAGCAUUUUUUUAGAAAAAUCCAAGUAAAGGAAAAAGCAAAAACAAAUUUUCUUUAUUCUUUGAAAGUUUUCUUUUUUAAAAAACAAUUCCAAAAAAAGAGUUAGUUUACUUUCUCCAUUCCCGAUCCCCCGAACUAUCGAAUUCGAUCAUAGCCCCAAAAUAAACUGAGUGGAAAAUAAACUGAAAAAAAGAAGAAAGAAAAUUAAGUGAAAAAAAAGGAGUGAAAAUGAAAAGAGAGUGAAAAUAAUAAUAACAAUAAUAAUAAUAAUAAUAAAAAGAAAAAAAAGAGUUCCAAAAUAUAAAAGAGUGGCAAAAACAAAACAAAAAUCAAGAGUGAUUGGAGAGUAACAAAGAUGAAAAAAGAUCCAUAUUGAAAGAGUUAGUUAAGGCUGGAAUGAUGCAUGUAACCAAUGCAAACAUGUAGAAACCCACUUAACUGUAUAGGUGCAUCACACCCAACGUGAUAUUACCUAUCUAUUAUUUGUUUCAAACUAACAAUUUGCUUGCUGCUAAAACCAGGUUCUAUAGAAAGGUGGUUGGUUUUGUGGUAAUCUGACCUCACAUUCAUACUUCACGAGGUCAAAAGGAAGUGUUCAACAUCAUUCACAAGGUUAAAAGGAAGUGUUCAUACAUACUUCACGAGGUCGAAAGGAAGUGUUGAAAUGUCUUCAGAAAUUCCUCUGCCAACAAUUCCUAUUUCGGAGGAAAUUUAAAUUUCAGCCAUCCCGACUUCUGAGUCAGCAACGGCUGAGGAAAAUAGAACUCUGCGUCUUCGCAUGAUGGAAAUAUUGGAUGCCUGGGGCAAUGGAAAAGAACCACCAAGUGCGAUCCAUGGGUUCCAUGAGUUGUUCCUAGGGUAAGUGGGAUUUCCAACAUCCCCAUAAGUUAUCCAAAUACCCCAAUGGGGUAUCCUACCAUUUCAGCUCACUUCGCUGGAUCACAUUCUGAGUUUUACCCCCAGAUGUCAGCGAUAGGUGCGGCUUCAAAAAUAUUCACUGCACCGCCCUGUUCAGCUACGGCACAACCUGCUUUGCCCAGGCCUACUUCGACUCAUCUUCGUUCACAUUUCAAGCAGCAUCUUUCUCGUUGGAACCUACCCGGAUUACCGCCAAUGCUUACCCUCAGCCACCACUGUAUGAGUUUACACAGGAGCAAGAAAACCCCCUAAGGCCCCAGAGCAGGAUGAGAUGACCAAGAGAAUAAGAAGACUUGAACAGAGCUUAAAGAACAUGCAAAGAUUGAGCGGGUAAAAGAGUGUCUCCUAUGCAGAUUUGUGUUUGUUCCCACAUGUCCACUUUCCGUCAGGGUUCAAAACACAAAAAUUUGAAAAGUAUGAUGGGAAAAGAUACCCCAUUGCUCAUUUGAAGAAGUAUUACAAUCAGUUACGGGGAGCCGGUGGCAAAGAGGAAUUAUCGAUGGAAUAUUUCGGGGAAAGCUUAAUCGGCAUCGCUUAAGAGUGGUUUACGGAUCAAGACAUCUCACAUUGGCAUAUCUUCUAUGAUAUUGCCCGAGACUUUGUCCGACAGUUUCAAUACAACAUAGAUAUCGCGCAGACAUGAAUUCUUUGUCAAACUUGAAGAAGAAAACCUCGGAAAGCUUCAGAGAAUACACUAUUAAAUGGUGUGAGAAAGCAUCAAGGGUAAAACCUCCCAUGGAUGAAAUGGAGAUGGUCACUAUCUUCCUCCAGGCCCAGGAACCAGAUUACUUCCAAAACAUGAUGUCGGCAAUGGGAAAGCCUUUUGCAGAGGCCAUCAAAAUUGGUGACAUGGUAGAACAUGGUUUAAAAACGGGCAGAAUUUUGAGUCAGUCAGCCAUCAGAGCAACCUACCAAGCCAUCCAAGGCGGGUCUGGAGGAACGGCGACGAAUAGAGCAAGAGAAGAAACAGCCAUGGCAGCAUCAGAGGGAAGAAGAUACCAAGCCCCAAGAUCUAUAUUCUCCGAAAAAACCCCUCAACACUACUAUCCUCAUUACGAUACGGUCUAUGCUCCACCACCUUAUGUGGUUAUGAAUGCUCAACCUUUUCGCCGACCACAACCACAGGCUAAUAUAAAUCAACCUCCAUUCCAAAGAAACCAGUCUCCUCACCAGAACCACUAUAAUUGUCGACCUCCCCAGAAUAACUUCCAUCCUCGGAAACCACCCAGGAGACCCUAAUAUACACCAAUCGGUGAACCCUACUCCACCCUGUUCCCUAAGCUUGUCUAGAUGAAUUUGCUAUAACCCAUACCCCCAAACGGGCAAAAUCCAGAAUCACCAUCAUAUCAACGAGAUGUUAGAUGUGCCUAUUAUUCAGGGUUAGAAAGGCAUGAUACAAACAACUGUUGGACGUUGAAACAAGAUAUGGAGAACUUGAUAGAGCAAGGUAAAAUAGUGUUGAGGGAUGAGGAUGUCCCCAAAUGUGACCAAUAAUCCAUUGCCAGCCCACAAUAACGGGCCAAUAAUCGGGAUGAUCUGUAAAGACAAAGAAUUUGAUCUGGCACUUAAAGCCAUAAUUGCUAUUGCUGAUACGGAAAGGAAUCACAAGGCAACCCUGAAACAAGAAUAAGGGGAAAAGAAGAGUAAAAUCACCGAGACAGAACCGGAAAAAGAUAAUGAUGUACCCAAGCAAGCCUAUGUGGUAAGAGGGACAAUCAAACCACCUUGGGUGAAUGAGAAAAUGGUUAUUAGACGCAUACCACAGAAGCCUAAGUACAGUAAAGAGGAAGAUGAUGAGGUUUUCACGCCUGAAGAGAGUGAGGAGAUACGUGGGGAAAUGAGGAAAAUGCUAUGCGAAACCUACAUGGUCCAGCCAGGAGAGGGCACCAGCACCGCUGAGCUAUCAUACAUGGGACCAAGCGCCAAAAUUCAAAAUUGGAAGGCUACUCCAUUCCUGAUCAAGCGGGAGUCCUAGUAGACUUGUCUUGCUGCCUUUUUCUCCAUCGUGAGUUAUCCCAGGUAUAACUCUGAUGUUUUCUUUUGGUUCCUGUCUUUAAAUUCCUAAAAACCCUUUUAUCUUCCUAAUUCAAGAAGUGAAAUCAAUAUUUCAUCAUUCAUUUUUUAGAGUUUCACUAUAUUUUCUCUUUUAUUUAUCUUUAAUUGUAAUAAUGCAGCUUUAAAUAACAUGACAUGCUUGCAGACAAGAACUCUGUCAGACUUUGAAAUAAAGAAUCAAAAAAUUAAAAUACAAAGAAAUUAAGUUUGAGAAAAUUAAAAGAAUAGAAUCGGGACAAUCGAAGAAAAUUGGUUCAUGGUUUGGGAAAGGCCAGUCACUAAAGUAGAGUUUGAGGACAUCAAGUGGGUCUAGACUUGUAUGGAACACUGACCUUUAAUGAAAUGGAUGACUGGAGUUUUGUCACAGGCAGUUGUACCAAUAAAGAAUGGCUCACGCCUAUAAAAUCUGAAGUAGGGUACCUGGUGUUAAAGCGUAUUCUUUCUCAUCACCAGGAAGCAAAAGGAAAGUUUGCUCCUAAUCGGAAAGGUCCAUAUAUCAUUGGAAAAUAUUUCCAAGAGAAGCAUUGUAUCUAGCUGAUAUCGGAAUAAAUGACCCUGAAGUAGUUGUGAAUACAGAUGAAGUAAAAGGUACUAUGUCUAAGAUCGCUCCGGCAAUGUCUUUGCACAGUUGAGAUGAUGAAGGCUUUCAUUCCGGCUAUCCAAACACCAUCAAUCCUUCGCAAACCCUUUGAGCCGGUUACCUUUCUUUGAUUACCCUCUUUGGAACUUGAAGGUGUUACUGAAAAAGGUUUGAUUGAAUUAAAAGAAAAUAAAGAUACAAAAAGAAAGAUGAAAAAAAAUUGAAGAAAAGAAAAAGAAAAAGAAAUAAAUAAAGAAAUAAAGAAAAAAAUGAAAGGAAAAAACAAAAAGAAAGAGAAAAAUAAAGCAAAAUAGAAAAACAAAAGAAAAAAAACAAAAUGUUUUCUUGAACUACGCUUUGACUUGAUUUCGAAAGGAUACAUAGGCAGCCUCUCUCUCAGGUUCAGUCACACCAAAAUAAAAAUCCAAAGUCCAAAAAAAAAGUGAAACUGGGGCAGAAGUUAUAUUGGUUCGGCGACGGUUUCAUCAGAAAGGUUCCAAAGUCACCCAUACCUUGUUAAAGUCCUUCCGAGAUCAAUUGGUGAGAGUGUUCAAGGAUCAGAGAAUACAGCUACUUGGAUCUGAUACAGUCAAAAUAAGAGAAAUAAAAUGAGAUAGUAUUAUUGAUGAAAAUCCACAUGGGCACCAUGAGGCGAUGGUAAGCAGAGAAAUGAAAAAUGAGAGUCUUGACAGUGAAAACUAGCAAAGAGCACUAUAAGACGAUGAUGAGAAGAGAAGUGAGGUGGGUCAGCUCGUGAAAACCCACAAAAGGUGCCCAUGAUCGAAAAUAAGAUCCUCACAGCCAUCAGCAUCAACAGAGUCCUCGCAAGGUUCCUCGGUUUCAAGGAAAAGUUGUGAUGAAUUUUUGAGAGUUGGACAGUUUACACAGAACAGGUAUCCGGUCCAAAAGGUAUGCCAUGUUCAUUGAAGUCCGCAUGCACUCCAGAUAAGUCCUUCUUUCUUUUCCCCGGAAGGGACACUUUUUGUUUUAAACUCAUUCUCCAUUAUAUUGUUUGUUUUCUUUGAAUCCCUUUCAGUCUAACACUCUUUCGAAACUAAGACAAAGAAACAACGACAAGACCUAUUUACAGGGUUCUCAUUUGGUGCGGGCUAAUGUGAAAAAGAUACCCGGCCUCAGCAGGUGCAGCAAGUCGACCUCGACUGGCCAUGGAAAUCGAUGCCUCAAUCAAAACUCUUGGAAGGAGAAAAUCAAAUUGAAGUGCCUAUAAAGGAAAAUGAAGUUGAGUCCCAUGUGGCUAACCAUCUCGGCAAAGGUUUAAAAGCUAAGGUUCCCCAAAUACUCGAAAUCAAAGUUGGAAGAAAGAAGCCAGAAAUGAAAGGCCUACAAGGGCAAAAUAAAGAUGGAAAAUGUUAAGUCCCACGCGACUAGCCAUUGCAGCAAGUUUGAUGAGCCAAAACGUCCCCGAAAGCUCUGAAAAAGAAAAAAAAAGGAAAAAAGAAAGAAAAGGAAGUCAGAAGGAAAGGCCUACGAAGGUGAAAUAAAGUUGGAGGUUAAGUUCCACCGACCGACCAUCAUAGCGAAGUCUGGAAUAAUCAGAGGCUCUCCAGGUCCUGAAAUGAAUCGAUCUUCAUCAAAGAAGUUGGGCUGGGAACGAGUGAUCGAAACUAAUCAAGGCCAGAAAACCAACCAAAAAGCAGGUGCGCAAGUGCAAGAAACAACCUUGUAGCAAGGAAUCAACCCAAAAGGGAAGUUUCCUCCAAAUUCUUUUCUUCAUUUUUACUAAACAAAAGAAAAUGGAAAAAAUGAAAAGAGAAAUAAGAAGAAAAUUCUAAAAAAUAAAAGUUCGUUUAGAAUCCCCAAUAUCAACCUUUACCAAUAUUAGGAUUCCAAUUCCUAUGUUGAGAUUUUUAGACAUAGGGCCUCCAUUCCCUAGCCGCCUAUGACAACAUUAGGGCUCCAAUCCAUAAGUUGAAAUUUGAGAUAUAGGGCCUCUAUUCCCUAGUUGUCUUUACCAACAUUAGGGCUCCAAUCCCUAAGUUGGAGAUUUUUAGACAUAGGGCCUCCAUUCCCUAGUCGCCUUCACCAAUAUUAGGGCUUCAAUCCCUAAUUUAAGAUUUUUAGACAUAGGGCCUCCAUUCCCUAGUUGCCUUUACUAAUUUUCCAAUCCCUAAGUUUAAAUUUUGGACAUAGGGCCUCCAUUCUGAAGUCAUCCUAGCCGACAUUAGGGCUUCAAUCCCUGAGUUGAGCAUUUUUUAGCCAACAUUAGGGCUCCAAUCCUUGAGUUGCAUGUUUCUUUAGCCAGCAUUAGGGCUCCAAUUCCUGAGUGGAGCGUGUUUCCCUUUAACCAACAUUAGGGCUCCAAUCCCUGAGUUGAGCAUUUUUACCUUUAACCAACAUUAGAGCUCCAAUCCCUGAGUUGAGAUUUUUCCUUUAGCCAACAUUAGGGCUCCUAUCCCUGAGUUGAACGGUUUUCUUUCAGCCAACAUUAGGGCUCCAAUCCCUGAGUUCAGCGGUUUUUCCUUAGCCAACAUUAGGGCUCCAAUCCUUGAGUUGAGUGUUUUUUCCAUUAGCUGACAUUAGGGCUCCAAUCCCUGAGCUAAGCAUUUUUUUGUUAGCCGACAUUAGGGCUCCAAACCAUGAGUUGAGCAUUUUCUUAGCCGACAUUAGGGCUCUAAUCCCUAAGUUGAGCGAUUUUCCUUAGCCGACAUUAGGGCUUCAAUCCCAAAGUUGAGCAUUUUCUUAGCCGACAUUAGGGCUCUAAUCCCCAAGUUGAGCGAUUUUCCAUAGCCGACAUUAGGGCUCAAACCUGAGUUGAGCGUUUUUUCCUUUAGCCGACAUUAGGGCUCCAAUCUCUGAGUUGAGCAGUUUACCCUUAGCCAACAUUAGGGCUCCAAUCCCCGAGUUGAGUUUUUUACCCUUAGCCAACAUUAGGGCUCCAAUCCCUGAGUUGAGAGUUUUACCCUUAGCCAACAUUAGGGAUCCAAUCCCUGAGUUGAGCGUUUUUUCUUUAGCCAAUAAUAGGGCUCCAAUCCCUGAGUUGCGUGUUUUUCCUUAGCCAAUAUUAGAGCUCCAGUCCCUGAGUUUAGCCUUUUUAGACAUAGGGCCUCCAUUCCCUAGUUAUCCCGGCAUAACCUGCGGAUCUCCUUGGCACAACCCAAGGAGCUUUUUUCUUUCCAAUCCCGGUAUAACUCAUGGAUCUCCCUGGCAUAACUCAAGGAGCUUUUUCUUUCCAAAUCCUGGCAUAACCUGUGGAUCUCCCUGGCAUAACCCAAGGGGUUUUUCUUUCCAAAUCCUGACAUGACCCGUGGACUUUUCCGGCAUAACUCGAUGACUUUCCCAGUAUAACCCGUGGACUUUUUCGGUAUAACCCGAUGACUUUCCCGGCAUAACCCGUGGACUAUUCCGGCAUAACCCAAUGAUUCUCCCGGCAUAACCCGUGGACCUUUCCGGCAUAACCCGAUGAUUUUUCCGGCAUAGCUCGUGGACCUUUCCGGCAUAACCCGAUAAUUUUUCCGACAUAACCCGUGGAACCUUUCCUACAUAACCUGAUGAUUCUCCCGGCAUAACCCGUGAACCCUUUCCGGCAUAACCCGUGGACCUUUCUGGCAUAACCCGAUGAUAUUCCUGGCAUAUCCCGUGGACCUCCCUCGCAUAACCCGAGGACCCUUCUUUAUUUUCCGGCAUAACCCGUCCAUUUCCUUGCUAAUCUGGCUUCAUUUCCCUAGGAUAAACAAUCUUAAUUUUAUCGCUUAAAUAUAUGCCACAACUAACUCACGAAAGUUUCCUACUGAAAACUGAGGCAGAAAAAUUUUGUUCGUUUGUUUGUUUUGGUGUAUGAGCAGGUUUGACCUCAAACCACAAGGUACAAGAUGACUGAUAGAAUGAGUCUCAAUCCAAAAAAAAGAAAAGAAGAACAGAACAAAAAAAGAAGAAGAAGUGAACUUAAAGUGCUGAAGUAGAGAAGGACGCGGACUGCUCAAAAUAUGAUUGAAGUCACAAGCUUCGCAUGUCCCGCCUCGAUUUAAAGCUGAAGAAUACACCAGCGGUAAUAGCUGACGAGCAAAAUAAAGAUCAAAAUCAGGAGGUCAGUAAGCAUGCAGCAGCAGUAACAGCAGAAUUACAGUCCCAUGGUAGUCCCAGCUACCAAAACUUCUCGAACUACAUUGACUUGAUUCCCUUUUAGCCAGGGAUAUGUAGGAAAUCUUAGUAGUAGAGGUUCGGUCAAAUAUUUCAAAAAUGCUUCACAGAGUACUGAAACGAGCAAAAAUCCCUCGUAUCCGCUCACUUUAUCUUUGCACGAAAACUCUUCGUGUUUUCGGACAAAGAGGGGCAGCAGUGAGCACAUAAUUUUUGCCCUAUAUAUAAUUACUCCCAAAAAAUUCAAAAUAAAAUAACAUUUGUUUGUUUGCAAUUGUUGUGAAUUUUGUGUUAUUUUUCUUGUAUUAUUUGUAUUUGUCUGUGCAUGUUUAUUUUGUUUUAAAAAAUAAAAUAUAAAAAUAUUUUUUUGGCUCCGCUAGGCAUGCGCCUAGGGUUGGUUUUAUAUUAAUAAAGAAAAAAAAUACAACAAUUAGAAAAGUAAAAUAAGGGGGACAAUAGCAUCGGUCUUGUUACCCAUAUAACAAAACCGCGCUAAACCUUACCUGAAAAAUCCUAUUGAGGCCAAAAUAGCCUCAUCUACUAGCAAGCGUGCGAGAAAAAAGAACUUGCAUGGACCAAAUAUUGUAUGAUCAUCACAGAAUUUAUAACAUAUUUUGUGAUGAUAUUACAUAUGAUAAUACUUAAUAAAUGGAAGACUAAAAUGAGGAUAGAAUUAAAAUGUUGUCCCUUCUUGGCCAAACUUGUGAAAUUUUGAAAUUGUAAUUCUUUGUCAUCAGUGUCACAAUUCUUCAGAAGGAUUUCAAAAUUCAUGACUUAUUUUUUGACCAGUUGGAUGUUGUGGAUGUAGUUGGUGCAACUUGCUUUUGUUUCAAAGCUCUCAUUAGAAGUCUCCUACCAAUUUCUUCAUCGCUCACCUUGUCGUCCCAACUAUUCUUUCUUGUGUGAUGCUUCUUGUUACGUCCAUUGUGCAUGGGUGAUAAGUCUCCCUGCUUUGCUGCAUUAGCACGGCAUUCUUGCAAAACUGUAUCCUCUUCUCUUUCUUCAUAUGUGUCCCUUCCCACAUUUACUGGUUUUGGCAACAUUUGGAUUGUGCCUUGGGCCAUCACAGUAUUUGCAUCCUGUAGUUUUGUUAAUAUUGUCUUUUCCAAUGCAUCUAGUGGCAUUCUUUCUUCCAACGUUAUCUGCUGCCCAAAGUUUGAAGUUGUUGGAGCCUUUGGAUCGUCUGAACUGGUAACCAAAUUAUUGGGACUGUUGUGGUGUUGUUGCAUACUUGUCGUAUCUAGUUGUAAAAAUUUGUGUUGUUCAAAGGUUGAAGAUGUCGCAGCAGCUCCUAAUCUCCUUACAUUCUGCUAUUGCUGCUGCUCACAUUUAAUUUUUGCAAUUGCAUUAUUAAAGGCAACAGAUUGAGUGUUUGUUUAAUUUGUGUUGUUCAAAGGUUGAAGAUGUCACAGCAGCUCCUAAUCUCCUUGCAUUCUGCUGUUGCUGCUGCUCACAUUUAAUUUUUGCGAAUGCAUUAUUAAAGGCAGCAGAUUGAGUGUUUGUUAGCAGUUGUAUUUGACUUGUAGUAGCACCUUUAGUCGACUGUUUGAGAGAUGAUUCUGCAGCUUGUACAACCCUUCCUGAUCCUGCAGUUGUAGUACCAGCAGGAGGUGAAUAUCUUGGGAUGAAUGCAUGAGCAUUAAGGUUUAAUUUGUAGUUUAUUGAUGUACCUUGCGGUUUGACAGCAUCCAAGUCCUCCCCUGCGCUAUCUUGAUCAACCUCCUGGUCACUUUCUUCAGAAGAGUAACCAUCAAAUUCGCCCCAGUCCUCUUCAUCAUCCUCUUCCCGGUGUUCUUUCCAAAAUUUUGAUUUAGCAACUCUGUCCCUCAUGUUUCCAGAUGAGAUCAUGAGCUGUCCAGAUGCUCCUUUAAAUUCACUGCCCAAAUGUGUAUCAAGGGGCUCAAAAAAAUUUGGAGUGGAGCCAAGUUGAAGUCAUUUGUUCGAGGACAUUUGCUUUGCAUAUUUGGAGAUGAUCCUUUCUUUGUGGGAGAUUUUUUGUUGUUUACCACUUUCCAACCAUCUCUUUUACUCUGUCCAGUUGUGUUACUGCCCAUAUUUUGGACCUCAACUACAUGUACAAUGUUUGAGGCCUUAGCCCCUAAGCACUGUCCCAAACUUGCUUGAUCAUUAGAGUUAAUUUGCAUAGGUUGCUCAGGUCGAUCAACAACCUCUUGUAACUUGACGUCACCAGUUUGGACAUCUGCAGCAGUAAUUUGUUCCACAUAUGCAACAAUUCGAUGACUAACAGCACCAUCAACUGAAGCAUUUACAACAGCUUUAUGCAGAGAAUUUGCAUUAUCCAAAACUGGAUUUCCAGCCUGUGAAACUACUCCCUGCUACUCAUGAUUCACAGUAGCCAUUUCACAACCUCCUUCAUUCAACUGGGACCCUCUAGCAAGAGCAUGAUCAGCCUGCAUUACACCAAGUGAUGCUACUACACCAGAUGCACCAGAAGCAUCCAUUCCAAUAUUUGCCCUGUAGUUUUAAUUGUAUGAACUACUUUUUCUUUGUUAGGUCGAUCAGCAUCAGGAGCCAAAGAGGUUGGGUGUGAGUUACUCUGCCCAGUUACAUUUUGAGAACUCUUAGCAGUAACCCUUUCAUCAAUCUCAUUCAAUAGUUAUCUUAAAUACCCUCUGUAUUUAUCACCAGGGAUUUGAUGUUCCUCAAUAUGAGCAUCAUCAUUAUAUUGUUUCAAAAGUAAUCUGCAGGUAGUCUCAUCAUGACCCUGGUGCUUACAACCAUUACAAUACAAAGGUAAUUUAUCAUAGACGAUUUGCUGGAAAAAUUCCAAAACAUUUCCAGAAUUUUUAUCAAUGCUUUGAAUUCUCACACGAGUUGAGUGUUUGUCUCUUCUUGACGUCACCAGUGUGGACUGCUGCAGCAGUAAUUUGUUCCACAGAUGCAACAGUUUGAUGAAUAAAAACACCAUCAACUGAAGCAUUUGCAGCAGCUAUAUGCAAAGAAUUUGCAUUAUCCAAAAUUAGAUUUCCAGCCUGUGAAACUACCCCCUCCUGCUCAGGAUUCACAGUAGCCAUUUCACAACCUCCUUCAUUCAACUGGGGCCCUCUAGCAAGAGCAUGAUCGGCCUGCAUUACACCAAGUGAUGCUGCUACAGCAGAUGCACCAGAAGCAGCCAUUACAAUAUUUUUCCAUGUAGUUUUAAUUGUAUGAACUACUUUUUCUUUGUUAGGCCAGGAGCCAAAGAUGCUGGGUGUGAGUUACUCUGCCCAGUUAUAUUUUGAGAACUUUUAGCAGUAACCCUUUCAUCAAUCUCAUUCAAUAGUUAUCUUAAAUUUCCUCUGUAUUUAUCACCAGGGAUUUGAUGUUCCUCAAUAUGAGCAUCACCAUUAUUUUGUUUCAAAAGUAAUCUGCAGGUAGUCUCAUCAUGACCCUGGCGCUUACAACCAUUACAAUACAAAGGUAAUUUAUCAUAGACGAUUUGCUGGAAAAAUUCCAAAACACUUCCAGAAUUUUUAUCAAUGACUCUCACACGAGUAGGGUGCUUGUCCAUUAAGUCUAAAAUCACUCUUACCUUAGCUUUGCUAGGUCUCGACUUAGUUUGUGUUGCCUUAUCUAUGGCAAUUGGUUUUCCUAAAGCUGAUGCGAUAGACAACAAAGAAGGCAUCGUGAACAAAUCUGGUGAAAGAUUCGGCAUCGAUAUCCAAACCACUGCUUUUGUUGUUUUCUCCUUUGGAUUAUAACCAAUCAUCCAUGGGAAUACACGAUAUUGAUGCUUCAUACCCUUAUACAACAUAUAAUUAACUGAUCGAGAUAAGGCAAUUACAUAAUCAUCAUAACGAUCAAACCUUAUGAGUAAUUGUCUUGGUGCGAGUAAACCGAUGAUGCAUCGACCUUUAACACCUAAAUGUUUGGGCAGCAGAUCUCGUAGCUCAUUCAGUUCUGGAGCACCUGUAGAUAGAUUCAUCACUACUUAUUGAUGCAAGCCUUCCUCCACAGCAAAUUGUUUUCGUUCCUCUAUGGUAAAAAUUGCAAUAGGCUCACCAUGAAUGAACUGGAUCGGUUUGAGUUUUGUAGUUGUGCGAUUUAUGGGAUCUGUUUUUGUUUCGAUUUGCUGAGCAUAUGUGAGUUUUGUUAAUGGCUCUCCCACAGCCAAAGGCUGGGGAGAAGACGAUGCAUCCAUGGUUCUUGAAAACUCCAUCAAGAUGAAAGCAAAAAAGAAUAAAAAACUGAAACAAAUCUGCCCAGUUGUGUUUUGCUACAGUACCCGACGCACCAAAUCUAAGAUUUGGAAAAAUUGAUUAUGGGUUUGAGAGCAAAAACAAAUGGGGAUUGUGUGCAAAGAAAAGACGCUUCUUUUGACACCAAAAUUGCUACAAUCAAACGCCGGAUUCCGGUAAAAAUGCCGGAUGAAUAGUGACGGAAUCACUAUUCACGGAAACCCUAAACAGAAAUUUAUUGAUGAAGCCUUGUGCCUUUGGAUUUCUGAUGAAAGUGACCGCCAAAUUCAGACUCGCAGCUAAUUAUGGAGUCGGAUGAAGCCUUGUUUGAUGCUGAUUUUGGUAGUUUUCUGAUGGGUUUAGAGUUGGGAUGAAUUGAUGGGUUUAGAGAGAAGGGAGAGCUUCUCUCUCUUGCACUUCUUUCCAAUGUUGUUCUUAUAAUUGUUGUUUUACUAUAAAAUAUAAAAAUAUAUUGCAUUUGCAUUUAAAAUUUAAUUUUUUAAUUAGGAUUAAUUAAGUUCGUUUUACAAAAAUGGCAAAAUCACAAAAAUAAAGUAUUUUGUAUUUUUAGCAUUUAAUGUCCAAUUGUAUGAUUUUAUUUUUAAUUGGUAUUUAAUUAUGUAUGAUAAUUAUUAUUAAAAGUUAAUUAGUAUUUUUAUAUAUUAACAUAGUUCUAUAAGUUAAUUUAGGAUUUUUAGAAUUUUAAUUUUUAUUUUAAGAAAACGAAAAAAGAAGCAAAAUGGAAAAUAAGAAGAAGAAAAUCGGAUUUGGGCCAAUUCCAAUUCAAUUCACCCAAGCCCAAACCAAAACACCCUUAUACCCAACAAUAUAUCCACAAACCAAGCCCAAACCCUUAUAAAAUCUGAUCCACCCUAUCUCCCCUCUCAAUCUUGAUCAUUGAUCUAUAGUAGAUCCAACGGUCCGGAACUCACCCAUUUUUUUAAAUAUAAAAGCUAUUCAAAACCCACCCCUCAUUUCUAAACUCCUCAUUCUUCCACUUCUCUCACAUCUCUCUAAACUUAAAACCUCUCAACCUCCCUCUUCUUCGUCCACCGCCGCCACCGCCGCCCAUCGAAACUCUUUCCCGGUGGCGGCCUACCUCUAAAUUCCCUUAAAUUCACACAAUAUUCUCCUAUUUUCCUCCUCUACCUCAUCUUAUCAACCAAACUCCCCAAAGCCCAACCAAAAUUCGUAGAUCUUAGAUCUAAAAAAAAAGCCAAAACCCAAGAUCUACCUUUUUUGUGUGAAUUUUCCUAACCGUUAAAAAAUCCUCUUGUCAAGAUCUCCCAUCAAGGAUCUUAGAUCCAAGACGAGAGUAUUAAUUUGAGGAUUUUUUCACAGUUAGACCCAUGUAAUUUUAUAUUUAAUUUCCACAUUCCUUAAUUUAUUUAUGCAUUUAUAUUUUUCGCAUUUUUAUUCUCGUUAUGUAUGUUAUUUCCUUUAUUUUUAUUUUUUUAUAUUUUACAUCUCAUCAUUUUAAUUAUUGUUAUUCUAUUAAAUAUAUUAUGUAGUUAUUAAUGGGUUGUAUUACUAAUGUAAUAAGUAUUGGUAGGGUAGAAAUUGCACUACUUAAUUUAAAUAAUAGCACUAGCUUAGUGGAAGUUUAAAAAUGAAAAGAUAAUUUGAUAAUGGAGGAUGCAUUAACCGGAAUUGCCUAUUUAAAUGCUGAAAAGUAAAAAGAGGGAAACAAUAAUGAAAAGUUAAAGUAUUCACAUAGUAGAAAUAUUUAAAAGAUGGAAAGUAAAAGGAGGAGGGAUAAUAGUAAAAGGUUUUCCCUUUACAACUGUAGAAGAAAAAAGGAGGGCUGAAAAGAAAAAAGAAUUUGGGUUUAAUUAUAGAGAUUAAGAGAGUCAUUAAGGGGGACUUAAACGGAGAAUAAAAGAAAGAAUUGAGAGUUAAAAAAUUAGAGAGCUGAAAAUCUCACUGUUUAUUUGAAGCUUCUCUUUUUUGCUUCAUUGAUUUCAUUUUUCUUGAUUCAAUACAUUAAGACCGAUCAUUAAGUAAUUCUAGUGCAUCUUUGAGUUCUUUUGGCUUGUGUUGAUAUUGAUGUGUGUUAAGGUCCAUUUUUGUCGUUAUUUUCUGGUUUGAUUUUGCUUGGUUUCUGGUUUAUUACUGUUGGCAUUUAUGGGAUUCUACUGAUUUUUGAUAUGUUAUUGCUCUGUUGCUUAUUGCUGGUUGUUGCUGUGUAUGCUAUUGCUGUUCUGCUAAUCAUUCCUCUUCUUCUUUAGCUUCUAAUAUCAGGUACACAAUUGGUACAUAUUAUUGUAUGCCGAAACAUAGAAGCAUUCAAUAUAAAUUAUGAAGAGUUGAAGUUGUAUACUCAACAUAGUUUCUUUCUUUUUACUGGUUAUAGUUAUGAGCAUGUUGUAUACUUUGUUGUAUAAACAUUUUCCAUUAUUUUUGUGUAAAUGGAUAGUUCUAUGAAAUGUAGUCCAACAAUGCUUUAUCUUAGUUUGAUUGUUAAGUAGUAAUAUGUCCAAAUGCAAUGUCUGGACCGUUAGACUGUUCUUAAAUGCAAACAAGUUAAGUUGCCUCCUUUAAAUAGUAGCAUUUUUAAAACUUGUAGCAUAUUUCUUCAUUAGAUAGCAUUACUUUACAUUUCUGCCUCUUAAAU